CCCGCAGUUAAAAAUAAAAAUCGACGUGUCCGAGCGUUUUUUUUUUGAACAUACCCCUGAAUUUUAAAUGAAUUUAUUCCGGACUUUUGGCUCUUACUGUAUAUGGAUCAGCAGCGCUUUAAUACCAAAGAGUACUACUAUAGCAUUGAAAAACUUAAUAAUAGGUGAGAAAAUACUUAAUUCAUGGGGCAUAUUAGAGCAAUUUGUGCAGAGAUUUUAGUCCAUCUCCACAUGGGAUCUCAAAGACUAGUGCCCAACUUACCAGCAACAACCAGAAAUUAGAAGCAAUCAUUCCUGGAAGUUUUACCACAAUAAAUUUAUUACCAUGCCUUAAUAACUCGAAAUAUAUAAUGGAUAAAGAAAAUCCCACAGACAUUCUUUAUCUGGACUUUGAGAAAGUCUUUGGCAAGAUUCCUCAUAGACUUUUACUCAAGCUUGAGCAUUAUGAUGUAAAGGGUAACUUGUUGAUGUUUAUUCAAUGUUUUCUCUCAGACAGGAACUUCCGAGUAAGAAUGAAGGCAGAGAAUGACAGUGUAUGGAGUGGAGUGCUCCAGGGCUCAGUGCUGGGACUUCUGCGAUUUUUGGUGUAUUUGUGAUCUUGCCCAGAACAUAAAAAUUAACAAAUCGUUUUUUGCACAUGCAAAGCAAUUGAUUUGUAAAAUGAUCUGCAAGAAAAUUUAAGCUGGUCAGACCUUUAGGGAAUGAAAAAUAUUUACCACCCUCAAUAUAAGCAACAACAGCCCAGCCAAUGUAUUUAAUAUACAGUAGUCUCGAUAACGUGAACGUCCCAUAACGUGAACAUCCCCACACGUGAACAGCCUAAUUGGUAUUCAGCCUAUUCUAAAACGUGAACGCCAAAAAUAUCUCGCCUCUAUAACGUGAACAAAAAAAUAUUUAUAUCGUUUUACCGUUUUACCCGUAUUAGCGGCAUUUCCUAUGUUCCCUUUGUUGGCAACUUUAGUACUAACUUAGUGCUUUUGCAUAUCGCCGCCAAAUUGUAUAUCUUGUUUGUACAUGUUUGAAGAGAUAUGAAAUGUGCGUCUUAUUCAGUGUUUGUUCGCCUAUCAAUACGAAACAAGCACGAUGUCUACUAAGAAAGUAAAUUAUUUAACUCUGGAAAAAAAAGCCCAACUCUUGUCCGAUGUCAGUAGAGGUUGCGGAGUUACCUUUUUAGCAAAAAAGUAUGGAAUAACCAAAUCCACGGUGUGUGCAAUUAAGAAGAAAAAAGACCAAAUUACUUGCCUUGACUUUUUCUGGACCAGGUAAACGAAAAUCUCUUAGACCUUCUGAAUAUCCAUUAAUGGAAAAAGCUUUGUAUAAGUGGUUUUUGCGACAACGAGAGAGGAAUGCACCAAUAAGUGGUUUAAUUUUAAAAGAGAAAACCAAAUAUUUUCACGAAAAACUGUACGACAAAAAUUCCACUUUUUCUGCGAGCUUGGGGUGGUUGCAAAAGUUCAAGAAAAGAUUUGGCAUACGCUUCCUAACAAUAACUGGUGAAAAACUAUCUUCACAGCCCGAACUGGUUUCACCAUUCUUACGUAAACUUAAAGAAAAAAUCAAGGACCUAAAAUUAGACUAUAUAAGUGUACAACGCCGAUGAAACCGGCUUGUACUGGAACUUGGAAGCUUUUACCCGGAAAGAGUUACGUAUCCAGUGAAGAAAAAACUGCCCCUGGAAGAAAAACAGCCAAAGAAAGAAUAACGUUUCUAGCAUGUACAAAUGCGACUGGACUACAUAAAUUGACUCCUUUGGUAAUAGGGAAAGCUAAAAAAUCACGAAGUUUUAAGAACUCUUACAUUCCUGUACACUACAAAAACUCACAAUCUGCAUGGAUGACAGCCGGAAUUUUCAAGGAAUGGUUUAAAGAAAUUUUUGUUCCUGAGGUGAGAAAGUUUCUUAAGAAACAAGGUCUUCCAGAGAAAGCACUUCUUUUAUUGGAUAAUGCCCCCAGUCAUCCCCCAGUAGAGGAACUUUUAUCUGAUAAUGAACUAAUUCAAGUUAUGUAUAUGCCUCUCAAUGUGACACCCUUAAUUCAACCUAUGGACCAAAACGUUAUUGGGUUGACUAAACUGCAUUAUCGCUCCAUGUUUUUGGCAAUGGUUGUAGCUAAUAAAUCUAAGGACAUGAAUGUCAUUAUGAAACAAUACAACCUCAGGGAUGCUAUUUUAAACUUAUCACGAGCAUGAAAUAAAUUAGAACCAGCAACCAUUAAAAAGUGUUGGAAAAAUAUUUUCAAAAGCCAAAGCAAUGAUGAUCGUGAAGACACAAUACCCUUGGCAACUCUUCGUCAAGAAUUGCUAAGCACUGUAGAGACUAACCUCAAUUUAUUAGAAGAAAUUGAUCCAGGGCAAGAUUUCAAACAUGGAGAUAUCGAAGAAUGGAAUAAAGAUGACUUCGUUGAACAUGAUGAGAAUUGUACUGCAGUGUCUAAUUAUUCAGAAACCGACAGGAUCAAGAUCCAGAGGUUUCUCAGGCUAUGGAUAAAGUCACUCAUAUUGAGGCAGUUCGUAUAUUUAACAGAGGUCUAGAAUGGGCAGAAGCAAAACAAUGCAGACUUUGAAGAUAUUCAGUCUUUACACAAAUUACGUGAAUGUGCAACUAUUCUUUCAAACCAUCAAACAAAGUUAGAUAACUUUUUUCUAAAAACAACAGAUUAAAUAUAAAUAAUGUACAUUGUACUUACUUACAUACAUAUACUUACCUAUAUAAUAAAUAUUUUUAUCUUUAUACCAUGUAUAAACAUAUACAACAUAUACAUUUUCAACUAUGUAUUACUAACUGUAUAACAUGUUUUUGUUUGAUUUUCCAAUAAAAUAUAUAUUCAAAGUACAUA
rnacentral:lncRNA from 1 species